rnacentral:rRNA from 1 species
UAAAGGAGCGAUCCGGUGACGGAUGGGCAUGCGUGACAUUAGCUAGUCGGCGGGGUAACGGCCCACCGAGGCGACGAUGUCUAGGGGUUCUGAGAGGAAGGUCCCCCACACUGGUACUGAGACACGGACCAGACUCCUACGGGAGGCAGCAGUGAGGAAUAUUGGUCAAUGGGCUUACGCCUGAACCAGCCAAGUCGCGUGAGGGAAGACUGCCCUAUGGGUUGUAAACCUCUUUUGUCAGGGAGCAACGCCGGCUACGUGUAGCCGGACUGAGAGUACCUGAAGAAAAAGCAUCGGCUAACUCCGUGCCAGCAGCCGCGGUAAUACGGAGGAUGCGAGCGUUAUCCGGAUUUAUUGGGUUUAAAGGGUGCGUAGGCGGAAUGCCAAGUCAGCGGUAAAAUCGCGGGGCUCAACCUCGCUCCGCCGUUGAAACUGGCGUUCUUGAGUGGGCGAGAAGUAUGCGGAAUGCGUGGUGUAGCGGUGAAAUGCAUAGAUAUCACGCAGAACUCCGAUUGCGAAGGCAGCAUACCGGCGCCCAACUGACGCUGAAGCACGAAAGCGUGGGUAUCGAACAGGAUUAGAUACCCUGGUAGUCCACGCAGUAAACGAUGAAUACUAGCUGUUCGGGGCAAAUGAGCCUUGAGUAGC